GACGAACGCUGGCGGCGUGCUUAACACAUGCAAGUCGAACGGAAAGGCCCUGCUUUUGUGGGGUGCUCGAGUGGCGAACGGGUGAGUAACACGUGAGUAACCUGCCCUUGACUUUGGGAUAACUUCAGGAAACUGGGGCUAAUACCGGAUAGGAGCUCCUGCUGCAUGGUGGGGGUUGGAAAGUUUCGGCGGUUGGGGAUGGACUCGCGGCUUAUCAGCUUGUUGGUGGGGUAGUGGCUUACCAAGGCUUUGACGGGUAGCCGGCCUGAGAGGGUGACCGGCCACAUUGGGCCUGGGAUACGGCCCAGACUCAUACGGGAGGCAGCAGUGGGGAAUAUUGCACAAUGGGCGGAAGCCGGAUGCAGCAACGCCGCGUGCGGGAGGACGGCCUUCGGGUAGUAAACCGAUUUCGCCUGUGACGAAGCGUGAGGGACGGGAAUGGGGAAAGAAACACCGGCUAACUACGG
rnacentral:rRNA from 1 species